rnacentral:lncRNA from 1 species
CGUUCCUUCUAGGCUCCAAACGUAAGGGUGGAUGUUGGGUUAAGUGUUUUUUUUUUUUUUUUUCCUGUUUUUUGUUUUCCUACCUGUGAUUCCAAAAGGACAUAGCUCUAUUAGGUUGUAGGUUAGAGAUCUUGCCAGGAUCCCAGAAUUAGGCAGAGUCUCUACACAGCAAAUAAACAGAAGGCAGAAGACAGAGCAAGUCAGAGUUGAGGACUCUUGGGGACUUACAAGACAAGCGUGACUCUUAAAAGCCUGGCUGUGGAUACAGGCCAGCUGUUGCCUAGCAACAUGAGACCAGCUAAUAAGGAGAAGUUGGAGGCUUAUUUUCCUAGACUGCAGAUGGACUCUAAAUAAGGAAGUUAAGUUUUAUGUGCCUUCUUGUGAUGAAGAUGGAUCCUCACACUUAUACUGUGCUUUAAGAAAGAUGAAAUAAAGACCAAAUCUCUGGAUAUAUGGUGAACAAGAGCUGUGAGAAGACUCUGAGGCCUUAGGAAAUGGGAAAGCUACCGGUCAAAAGGAUCCUGGCCCCUGAAUAACUGCACAGCUCUUUGCUGGUCUGCACUGGGAUGCGAUGUAACUGAUAAAUAAACAUUUCUUAUGUUAAAC